UACGGAGGAUCCGAGCGUUAUCCGGAUUUAUUGGGUUUAAAGGGUGCGCAGGCGGAAUAUUAAGUCGGCGGUGAAAGUUUGCAGCUUAACUGUAAAAUUGCCGUUGAUACUGGUAUUCUUGAGUGUAUAUGAAGUAGGCGGAAUUUGUAGUGUAGCGGUGAAAUGCAUAGAUAUUACAAGGAACUCCAAUUGCGAAGGCAGCUUACUAAAUUACAACUGACGCUUAGGCACGAAGGCGUGGGUAUCAAACAGGAUUAGAUACCCGUGUAGUCCCU
rnacentral:rRNA from 1 species